GACGCCAAUGAAUACGUGCCUGCGGAAUAAUUAAUCUAUUAACGAUUAUUGCUUUCCUAACGUGGCUGUGGACUAAUUGGUUGUGAGGCGUGACUCUGUAACGCUGGUAGGGCAGAGGUGCGGCCGUUACAGCUCGAAAUGGAAGCAUCGUUAAGAGUGAGCCAUUACACGGACGCAGCAGCCGUUCUACCAAUUAACUAUAAUACGAGUUAAGUAGCCGAAUAGUUGGAAUUUAUCUGACAUCCGAGGAAAACCGGUGAACCAUAGCCUUUGCCGUGGUCCGAUAAUCCUUAACAAGACAUAAUUCGUUCUCAGUGGCGAACACCGUGGAAUUCGAAGAUUCUCAAGAUGUUAUCUCGCUGCCUGUUGGGCAGCCAGAGAGAGUCCCUCGGAAUGUCCCACCUACUCCGAAAGUUAACACACCGAUCGUGACUUCGCCGCAGCAACCAGUUUGUUCCUUUCAACGGAAACUUAAUACGCCUUUAAUUCCUCUCCGGUUCAGAUUAAUCUUCGCCAUCUUCCUCUCUGCUGCCUCAGCCUUUUUUCGACUCAAUUAUUCACGAUACUACCGCGGCUCAACAUUGACACUCGCGGAUGUUUUUGCGACACUGAAAGAAACGACAUUUCUUUCUUUCCAGCUUAUAACAAGAAUAACAAAGUUUAUGUAUCCAUAUGUUAAGGAAGAGUAUCCAAAGUGUAUUCACAAUAAUUUCCAUAGUGAGGCAGCCAUUACUGCUAGUUCACGAGGCAUCGUAAGCAGAUAUCUGCGGUGGAAAUCAUCAUACAUAUACAUAUACGCAUCGCGGUCGGACUACGACGAAACAAGCAAC
rnacentral:misc_RNA from 1 species